GCGUUUGGGUAAUCGCUGCAGCUUACUGCUGUAGAGGAAAGUCCAUGCUCGCACGGUGCUGAGAUGCCCGUAGUGUUCGUGCCUAGCCAAUUCAUAAGCUAGGGCAGCUCAGGUUUCUGAGUUGACGGCAGGGAAAAUACCUACGUCCUUUUCGGAUAUGGUAUGACUACCUUGAAAGUGCCACAGUGACGAAGUCCUGUUAGAAAUGGCAGGAGUGGAACGAGGUAAACCCCACGAGCGAGAAACCCAAAUUUGGUAGGGGAACCCUUUUGGAGGAAACGAACGAAGAAAGGGACAAAGGCAAGUCCUUUGUAGAUAGAUGAUUACCACCUUAGUACGAGAUGACAAGUCGCUUGCAGUACAAAGGAACAAAACAUGGCUUACAGAG
rfam:Bacillus enclensis strain SGD-1123 genomic scaffold Scaffold1, whole genome shotgun sequence.